rnacentral:rRNA from 1 species
CUACGGGGGGCACCAGUGAGGAAUAUUGGUCAAUGGACGAAAGUCUGAACCAGCCAUGCCGCGUGCAGGAUGAAUGCCCUACGGGUUGUAAACUGCUUUUAUAUAGGAAGAAACCCCUUUACGUGUAAAGGGCUGACGGUACUAUAAGAAUAAGGACCGGCUAACUCCGUGCCAGCAGCCGCGGUAAUACGGAGGGUCCAAGCGUUAUCCGGAUUUAUUGGGUUUAAAGGGUCCGUAGGCGGGAAAAUAAUUCAGUGGUGAAAGCCUGCAGCUUAACUGCAGAACUGCCAUUGAAACUGUUUUUCUUGAGUGUAGAUGAAGUGGGCGGAAUAUAUCAUGUAGCGGUGAAAUGCAUAGAUAUGAUAUAGAACACCAAUUGCGAAGGCAGCUCACUAAACUAUUACUGACGCUGAGGGACGAAAGCGUGGGGAGCGAACAGGAUUAGAUACCCGCGUAGUC